GGGAGCAAGAGGCGCAAGAAGCUGAGAAUGACCUCCCAGAACUGGAACUGCGUUUGGAUCAUGGUAUUGUAUGUAGCAGCAGAGAGAUCUGCAACCAUGGAAGCUGGGAGUGCACUGAAAAGUGGCAAACUGUCCAGCAUUGACUUCCACACUCUGAAGACGCAGGAAAUGUGGAGUUUUGGCUGACAGAAGAGAAAAAAGGAUAGAGUUAUUAACACACAGUGUGACUG